GGCCGGCGUUCGCGAGAGGAAGCCUCCUCGACCUUCAAAGGCCGAGAGACCAGCGGGAGAUUAUGAAGCAACUGUGGAACUUGGAUAGGUUGAACAUUCCUUCAGCUCUUGAAAUGAACUCUGAUUGGUUUAAGUGAAUCAGUAAAGCCCAUCACACUGGCCAUGGUGACUGGUUGGGGAAUGAGUCCAUGCCAUGAUUCCGACUAAUGAGACAUGUUUACUGGACAUGAACUAGGAAGCACAAAGUCUCAGACAUCCUACUUCAGCCUUAGUAUAAAGGCAAUGCUACCAGUCCUCAGAGUCCUUGAUAAUAUUGUUCAGACUCUGGAUCAGCCCACCCAAAGAGGUCAAGAGGACGGAGCCCCCAUGAUGGGAUUAGUGCUCUUAUAAGAAGAGACAGCAGAGAGCCUCUCUUGCUCACUCUGCCAUGUGACGACAUACAUGGUGAGAAGGCAGCUGCCUGUAAGCCAGGAAGAGAGCCUCACCAGAACCCAACCAUGACAGCUCCAUGCCUCUGAAAUGAUGCACAAGCAAGCCACCCCUGGGGACUCUGAGGGUGGCAGAAUCACCUAAAUAAAUGAAGAACAAGGAAGGGGAGGAGGGAGGUGAGAGGCAGCAUGGUGAAGAGCAGUACUCUUCACUCAUUUCCACCAGAACAGCAGAGAACAAGAAAGAGAAACAAUUAACCCAUCAGAAGACCUGGAGGCAAAGCCUGGAAAAAGAUGCCAAUAUCUUUGAAAUCUUGUUAUUUUAUUGUAAAAAGUCAUGCAAAUUCUGCAUUCUACUUCAUAAUGUGCCUUUACACUCUUUGUAUCAAAAUGUUUACCUAAAAUUUUUGAGAAGUGUCAUUUUAUACCAAAUCUUUGAAAUAACCUCCUGGCCCUGCCCUACCUAUCCUGGCAUGCUUCCACCCCGAUGUGAAUAGCACGAAUGCAUCAGAAGGAGUGCUGGAUGCAGUUUUAAAAUCUGGGUUCUUUUUCUCAUUCCAUCCCUUCCCAGCCAUGUGACCUUGCAAAAUCACUUAUCGUCUUUAAGCUUCUCUUUCCUCACGAGUAAAAGCGAAGAUGACAUCUCUUCCGCCUUUCUCACAAGGCUGUCAAGCUCCAAGGAGUUAAUUUGAGAGAGAGAGCUGGGAGACCAGGAAACUCUGACUCUAUGGCCCUGUAGGGUGGUAUCACUAUUAUUAUUCCAAGACCAUUUUGGAAGUUUCCCAGCCCAGACUGAGCCAUUCUGGGACUAACCUUUUCUGUUCAUUCCGAUACCUUUUUGUCCAAUCCUUGCACCUAUUCUAGGAAUAGAAGUACAGGAGGCAAAAAGAAUGAGGAGCGGCUAUUUAUAAUCAGCUGUCGAGAGGAUGGGAGAGAAGUCAGAUCUUACUCUCAUGCGACUCCACGUCUCUUGGUUCCCCUCAUUUCUACAUCUUCCAUCUUUAACAUGGGAUCUUAAGCUUCCCUACUCAGAGGAAUCCUGAACCUGUAUCCCCUGUACUUGCCUGAUGCACUAAUCACCUAAGAUUCAGGGUCGAGCAGGAAAGACAAGUUGGUUUCAUCUUCAGCACCAGCUCUGAAUCACUGGUUGCGUGGGACACUGUAUUAAGAAAACCACUCAGUGGGAGAGAUUGUAGAGCUUGAUUAAAGCUGUCUGCCACAGGCACAGAGGGCGAGAACAGCAGCAUGUGUGCCACCACUGGCCACCCCUGGUUUAGAGGCUCUAAAAAAUGCAGCAAAUCUUGAGAGCUGGAAGGUUUUCAGAAGAACCUCAAAUGUGAGGUUUUUCAUCCUCUGGGACAUUUAGGAAGUCAGUGAUAAUGGCUUGUGUCUUAUUUUUAAUAAUAUGAAGGGCCAACUCCUUAUCUGUGAUAGUAUUGACGAGGUUAACUAAAUGUCAAGUUUCUUUCCUUUUAGAUAGAAGAAUAUCAACCCCAUUCCCUGACCCUGAGUGUCUUAUGCUAGCCACUAUGACUUACAUCUGUUGAAAUCACAGAAAAUUUUGGAAUGUUAUUGGGCAUCCUGACACUCCAGCAUUGAACCCAUGAGCAAUUGUGGACAUGAAUACAGAGUGAAGACCUAAGAUGACUGACUGGCUGCAGGGAACUUUAAAAAAAAAAAAAGUCAUGGUGAUUAAGAGGUUGGGAAUCACUGUUCUAAUGAAAUCUGUUGUCAGUCUUAAUCUGACUGCUUCAAAUCCUACCCCAUAUUUCUGAGAACUCUAAGGGUUUCAGAUUUGGAUGAACACUCCAUGAGUUUAUUUCAAAGUACUUAUUUCUAUUUUAGCAUGUGUUACUUGAGACUUUUAAAAAAAUAACAAAGAGCUUCCAUUAAAUAAUUAAGUAUCCUCUUGUUGUAGAAUUCUAAAGGGUUCAGCGCUGUGUACAUGCAUAGCAUUUAAGCUUUUAGGAAUUUAUUUUACCACUUUGGUGCUUUCACUUUGCUUGAAAGCAAACCCUUUUGGGUAAAAGGCCCAGUUGGGGUUUAAAAGCUUUCAAUCUGCCUUCAUCUGCUCUUUAGGCAACUAGACUUCCUGGCUGAGUAGAGUAUGUUGUUUCAUUUUGGUCAUGUCUUACACUACAAGAAGCUACAGAACAGUAAAAAAUACAGUGAUUAAAUAUUUUGAUAUUUCUUACUGUAUUUUUUCCACUGGGUUUCUCUGGGCGCCUACUGUUUAUUACCAUGUUCUGAGCUUCCCUUGCAAAUGAAUUCUUGCAUGUUAAGGAACAGCCACUAAGGAAGGGGCUGCAAGAUGGGUCACAUUUCAGAGAAAACCAACUGUGGAGAGUGACAGGCUGGGGUUGAGGGGCCGGUCGGGGAGGUGAGCACAGAGGAGAUUACAUUGGGGAGGUGAGCACAGAGGAGAUUACAGGCCCCUCGUCUGUCUUCACAGCAAUAGGGAGGUGCUUUUAGUAAUAAGAGGUCUUUCUUUUGGUACUUUUCAGCUCCCCACUUCCUUUUCUUCAUUCUCUUAAAUUUUUCUUCCCUCUCUUUGCCUCCCUUUCUCCUUUCCUUUCCCCUUUAUGUUUCUCUCCUGUCCCAUUUUUCUAAUUUCCCUUCCAUUCUCCUACUUUUUCUUGUCUCUUUCUUUCUCUCGUCCCCAUCUCUUCAUUUCUGACCUAUCUCCCAUUCUCUGCUUGUGCUUCCUUAGCUUAAUAUUGUUCGUUAGGUUACUUAUUUAUUCAUUCUUAAAGGAGGUACUGGGGAUUGAACCCAGGACCUGAUGCAUACUGAGCAUGUGCUCUACCACUUAAGCUAUACCCUCUCCCCUUGCUUGUGCUUCCUAAAGUGUGUUCCACCAAGCACCAGGUCCAUGAGAUGCUCUCUGAAAAAUAAAAAAAGGUGGGGGUAGGGGGGUGAAGCUGGAUAUGUGGUUAAAUUGCAUACCAUAUCUCCCCUUUGGAGCACUUUAUUAGCAUUUUAUAGGUUCUGAGAAAUCCUACUGUGAAGAAACAACUCUAACCUGGCUAUCCCACUAUUCCCAAGACCUCCUUGACCUCAGUGUCUUUUCCCUCCAAAUUAAUGAAUCUCACUGAGAAUACAUUUUGGGAAACGCCCAUGGUAGAGUCUCUCCUCUUGCUUACCUUGGGUCUGCAGAGCACUGACUUCUUCCAGUCAUACCUGAUAUCAAGGCAUCUUCUCCCCUGUCUGAGCCUUUCUGAGGCCACCACAGCCACGUCUCCUCUUCUGUCUGUCCCCUUCACUGCCCAACACGGUGAAACACAUGUUGCAAAAAAGUGCAAAAGUUCUACAUUACUCAACUCUCGUGUUAAAUGUUUAAGGUUGGUGGUUCUUUCUUCUUCUUCUUCUUUCACUUACCUAACAAAUUGCCAAAGAUUGUCUUUGAAAAAUAAUAGGCAGCAUGGCAGAGGUUCCAGCAGGGGAACAUUUUGAUUCUUUGCUGGUGACAGUGUCAGCUGGUAUAAUCAUUCUAGAGGGGAAUUAGAUGAAUAUGUAGCCAAAGUCUGAAAAUGCUACUUUGGGGACUUUAUCCUAAGAAAAUAAUUAAGGAUUUAAGCAAAGACUUAGCUUCAAGGGUUUGUUUUUUUCUUUUUGCUUUGUUGUUGUUGCUGUUGUUUUUACUGGAGUGUUGUUUAUGACAGAAAAAACUUGGAAACAACCUUAGUAUCCAACAGUGGGAGGGAGACUGGCAAGUUGAGCGUACUGUUGCAUAGUCAUACGAUGGGGUAUGACUCAGCUCUUAGAAGGAAAGCUUUAGGGGAGUAUUUACCAACAUAAAGUAGAUGCCCCAAAUUAAUUCUGUGUAAAAAAGCAUACAUAUGGACAAUGUGAGCCCAUUUUUGUAAAAUCAACAUUCACCUACUGUGAUACAUAAAUAAAAACAUGUAAAAGCAGGAAAGAAUAUGCCCCCAAAUUCAGCAGUAAUUAUCUCUUACUGGUACUAGGAUUUCAGCAGCUUCUUGUUUAUCUGUGCUUUGAUUUUUAUAUAAAGAGCAUGUGCCUUUUGUAUAUUGAAAGGAAACAAUAAGUUAGAAAGAUUAACAAAAAUAGUUGGUGAUCCCAUACAAGUUUUGUUAGCAUUUGAACUCCCAGCUUACUCCAAAUAUGGUCCCAUCAACACCAACUGGGACUUUUCUGUCUCCUGGGGGGUAAGUGCUCUGUGAGGAAGGUCAAAGAGAAUGUCAGCCUUCCUUCUGCUAUCUGAGGAAAUCUGGAUACAAGAGCCGGCUUCUAUGUUGUGAUGCUGCAAUUUACUGGGAAAAAAAAAAGAUCAACACACCCCACCAUCUAUUUAUUUAAUAUUAAAAAUAAUAUUUCACUGAGUUUGGCUGGCGUCAGCUCGAGCAGUUACUCAUACAGGAAUUCAAACAAAAGCAGCACUGGCCCUGGGCCAGGGGGCUGGUGCUGGGUGGUCCAUGUCCGUCCUUAGCUCAAGACUAACUCCUAGGCUGCUUUCCGACCUGCUUCGGGUUAAGAAGAUGAUGUAUUCAUUUAUUUAUUAGAAAUGUUUUAACAGGAAAUGCUAAUAGUUUGCAUUUAGGGAGAAUUGCCCUGGAGACAGCUGGAGGAACCCAGCAGACGUGGUGGGGGAGGAGACUGCUGUUCUGAGCCUCGGAGUCGGGUCAGGGUCUGUUGUAAAAGUGCAUUGAGACCCAACACACCAAGUUAGCCCAGAAGAUCCUGGUUGCUUUGCUUCAGGACAGAAGUAGAAGGAGCACGGCCAUUUCAGCUGCCCUGUUUCCCAUCUCUGUUGCCGUUUGUUUCUUAGGGCCCUGAAGGGGUGUUUUUGAUGUGGCCGUGAACACAGAUGUUGGCUCUGUGAGGAAUGAACAGGCCCUGUGUACACAAACCUCCAGGUAGGGGUGUGUGAGCCAAGACGUAAGCGAGCGCACAUGUAACUCAAACCCACUUUUAGUGUGACUGUGGGCUGGUGGAGUCAUGUGUGAGUUCAGGGUUAUAUGUGCCCGUCUUUUCAGCGUAUGAGUCUGAAUGAAAGACAAGUGUUUGCAGGGGAUUUCAGGUGUGUCCUCAAGCUCCAGGGUGCAUUCCAAUGUUGGAUCAUAUUCAUGGGUAAUUCUGAGGAGUCCAGAGAGAAAAUGGAAGACAGGGGAGUAUAAAUCAAGCACAAAUGUAUAUGUAUGAGAAGAACAUGAGCAGGUUUGUGUAUCUUUAAAAAUCCUCUUCCAGCCAUUCUGGAAGACUACAGGACUUUACUCCCGGGGGCAGGGCGUGAUUACAGUGCCGUGGGGAAUGGGGUCCAGUGUCUAACCCAGUCUGGCACGACAAUAGGGCUGUUCCUGUGUUUCCAGAUAACAAUAGAGGUGAAGCCUAACCCUGGAAACCAGUCAAGAUUCCCAGAGAUAAACUCUCAGGCAGCAAGAACUCUGUCAAUGAAAAGAAACUGACCUUUCGCCUUCUGGAGUCACAGAAUUCCCACAAAUGCUAUGCCUCAUCAGCUCUGGCAGCCUCACCACCACAGCCCCAGACUUCGAAGCCAAUUCAUAAACAGCAUGGAGGGGGCUGUGCUAGAAGUCGAGGCACCUCUAGCACCUCAAAAUACAGGAAGCAACCCCCACCCCCCGCCACCGCCAUUUUCUUCCAGAAGUUAACCUUCUCUCCAGGCUCACAAAGUUACGAGUGAGGCCCUUAAACGGCUUUCCUCUGACAGUGUGGCCUGCUUUGUUGCUGCUGAAGGGACCACAGGUGAGCUUUAACCUGAAAUGUGUUCUAAAAUCUGAACGGAGAGCCUCUGGAGAGCUUGCACAACCUUGGGAGUCUCAGGGCAGGGGGCGUGGAGGACUCGGGCUGGGGUGGGGAGGAGCGGGUCAGAGAAGACGAAGCGGAGGAGUCUGGUCUAUGACAGUGAGAGGUUUUUAAGUCUGAGGCUGGAAGUUCAUCAGAUUUCUUGUUUUAAGAUGAUAAAAUUAAUUAAUCUUUUUGAGCCCUAGGUUCCUCAGCAAAAUGCGAAUGGCAGAGUUUCUGAUUUAUAAAUCAAAUAAACUAGGACUUCAUCACUUAACAACUGCCUUCCCACACAAGCCUGAAACCCAUUUAGCAUCAUAUAAGCCACGAGAACAAUGGUUUUCAACCUUGGCUACACAGGAAUCGCUGGGGAAGGUGUCGACAAUGUUAUUAUUGCAUGAAUCCCACCUGCAGAGAUUCUAACGGAAUUCAUCUGGGUGAGGCCUGGACACCAGGACUCUACUUUCCUGAAUCUUCUCGUUAACUCCUAUUCUGAAAUGAUGGAAAAGACUUUGUGAUUCAAAAUAAAGAGACUGGAUAAACAGAGACAAGACUGAAGGGGCAGAAGGAAAGGAGGAAGGGAACAAAAGAGAAAGGCUUCAUGUCCAUUUCAGGACAGAAGAAAUGGAAAGCGAGGGGUUCAGAGAAUGAGAAGCUCUGGAGCUAAUGACAGGUGAGAAUUAGGAGAGGAAAGGCAAGUUUGAGGACUGUUCCUAAAGCUUAUGCUUUUUAAUGUUCUUGGAGAAUGGCAAGCAAAAAUUUGAAUUCGUUUUAAAAUAGUUUUGGUUGCUAGACUGUUUUUCAGUUCAUCAUUGCUUUGAGUCUGAGACGUUUGGAUGGCCAGCUUACAUUUGGGUUACAUGCUACACUGCUCCCUCAUUGGCAACAGCUAAACAGUCACCAAACCCCAUGACUUUUCCUGCUUUCAGCCUAUCACUACUGCCUAACAACACCACACAUGCCAACUAGACUUCCUCAUAACUCAAACUUUUUUUUUUUUUGGACUUUGGCUCAU